ensembl:lncRNA
CUGGUUCUCUGCAUGGAGGAAUGUGAUAAUUCAUCCCAGCUUUGGCUUAGCCCUGCGGCUGGCCGCCUCGGUCUUUGGCUUCCCAACACGUGUCUGGCUCUGACUCUGCUCCGGCCGACCUGCGGGACCCGAGAACACCACACACUGUGCACUACCCCGAGAGAAAUCCUUCUCCAGCGUCACACUAGCAACACGUUUAACGACAGCUGUAUCACUCAUGUGACCAAAUGUCAAAGGCCUGGGCGAGCGGCAUGUGUCAGUGAGGUCCAGGCAGCUCUGAUCAACUCAGAACAAAGUGGAACAAACAGACACCCUCCUGCUGGAGCUUACAGGUAUUACACACACUCACUUCACUUCUUGGUAUCUAUCUAUCUAUCUAUCUAUCUAUCUAUCUAUCUAUCUAUCUAUCUAUCUAUC